UACAGAGGGUGCAAGCGUUGUCCGGAUUUAUUGGGCGUAAAGAGCGUGUAGGCGGUUUGGUAGGUCCGCUGUGAAAACUCGAGGCUCAACCUCGAGACGCCGGUGGAAACCAUCAGACUAGAGUCCGGAAGAGGAGAGUGGAAUUCCUGGUGUAGCGGUGAAAUGCGCAGAUAUCAGGAAGAACACCCGUGGCUAAGGCGGCUCUCUAGUACGGUACUGACGCUGAGACGCGAAAGCGUGGGGAGCGAACAGG
rnacentral:rRNA from 1 species